GAAUGAGAUAUCAACCAGAUUCCUUUUUCUAUGGCUUCCCUAAUGUGUCUAGAGUCACAAUACAUAGUUUCAGGCUUUUAUUUUGAAAAAUGAGCCUGAACGUCAACAUUGCAUCAGUGGUCAGCUGAAGUCUCUCAGAGUGUUUUGUGCAUAAAGGACAAAUGCGGCCAUUGUUUCUCUCUAUCCUACUAAGAAGCCACCAGUCCCGGUUGAUAUAUUAUCGAAUAGAUAUUUGAAAAACACCUUGAGGCUUGAUUAUAAACAAUGUUUGCCAUGUUUCUGUCGAUAUUAUGGAGCUAAUUUGGAAUAUUUUUCGGCGUUGUAGUGACCGCAAAUUCCGGUCGAUUUCUCAGCCAAACGUGAAGAACAAACGGAGCUAUUUCACCUACAAAAAUAAUAUUUUUGGAAAAAAGGAACAUUUGCUAUCUAACUGGGAGUCUCUUGAGUGAAAACAUCCGAAGCUCAUCAAAGACUGACUCUGGUCUUCCAAAAUGGCACCUAGAGUGAUUGGUAGGUGAUUGGUAGGCUCUGGUACGGCAACUGCUCCGCCCUCAACCGUAAGGCUCUCCAGAGGGUAGUGAGGUCUGCACAACGCAUCACCGGGGGCAAACUACCUGCCCUCCAGGACACCUACACCACCCGAUGUUACAGGAAGGCCAUAAAGAUCAUCAAGGACAUCAACCACCCGAGCCACUGCCUGUUCACCCCGCUAUCAUCCAGAAGGCGAGGUCAGUACAGGUGCAUCAAAGCUGGGACCGAGAGACUGAAAAACAGCUUCUAUCUCAAGGCCAUCAGACUGUUAAACAGCCACCACUAACAUUGAGUGGCUGCUGCCAGCACACUGACACUGACACUGACUAAACUCCAGCCACUUUAAUAAUGGGAAAUGAUGUAAAUAUAUCACUAGCCACUUUAAACAAUGCUACCUUAUAUAAUGUUACUUACCCUACAUUAUUCAUCUCAUAUGCAUACGUAUAUACUGUACUCUAUAUCGUCGACUGCAUCCUUAUGUAAUACAUGUAUCACUAGCCACUUUAACUAUGCCACUUUGUUUACAUACUCAUCUCAUAUGUAUAUACUGUACUCGAUACCAUCUACUGUAUCUUGCCUAUGCUGCUCUGUACCAUCACUCAUUCAUAUAUCCUUAUGUACAUAUUCUUUAUCCCCUUACACUGUGUAUAAGACAGUAGUUUUGGAAUUGUUAGUUAGAUUACUUGUUGGUUAUUACUGCACUGUCGGAACUAGAAGCACAAGCAUUUCGCUACACUCGCAUUAACAUCUGCUAACCAUGUGUAUGUGACAAAUAAAAUUUGAUUUGAUUUGAUUUUGCAACUGCAACCCCUCUAUGGUCUUGAAGAGCAGGAAGUGAAUAACCUACAGCCUCAUCUCUCAGCACUAAACUCUUUGCUUUCUUUUCUCUUCACCGUUUUAUCUUCCUUCAAUGUGAUUAAAGGCUGACGCAGUGUUUCCACUGUCUGAAAAUAGACUCACUGUUAGUUGCUGAUCUAUAGAAGUGUUGUGAAAACUCACUUUUUAUAUGGAGGGGGAAAGAAGGGUGGGGUGAGAAAGAUGGCUAUGUCUCCUGAAUCUCUGUCCCAGUGGAAAUAGACCAAAAUGCUGCAGACACACAAAUAGGAUUCUGGGAAGAAUUAUUGACAGGCUCAGCACUGUUGUGACAGAGAGAGAGAGAGAGAGAGAGAGAGAGAGAGAGAGAGGCUGGGAGAGGGAGGGAGAUGUAGAGAGGUGUGGGGCAAAGAUGGAAAGAUACAGGGAGUAACAGAGAGGGAAUGCUUAUUUAUUUUGUCUUGUCAUUGUUAAAACACUGUGUAUAUAUAUAUAUAUAUAUAUAUAUAUAUAUAUAUAUAUGACAUUUGUAAUGUCUUUAUUGUUUUGAAACUUCUGUCUGUGU
ensembl:lncRNA